UACGGGGGGGCAAGCGUUGUUCGGAAUUACUGGGCGUAAAGGGCUCGUAGGUGGCCAACUAAGUCAGACGUGAAAUCCCUCGGCUUAACCGGGAACUGCGUCUGAUACUGGAUGGCUUGAGUUCGGGAGAGGGAUGCGGAAUUCCAGGUGUAGCGGUGAAAUGCGUAGAUAUCUGGAGGAACACCGGUGGCGAAGGCGGCAUCCUGGACCGACACUGACGCUGAUGAGCGAAAGCCAGGGGAGCAAACGGG
rnacentral:rRNA from 1 species